UGAGAAAGCUCUACCUCCUUUAGUGGACUUUGCUAUCCUAAGAACUACCAAAUGUCCAGUGUUUUGUGACCUUAGGGUGCGUGAUGGGUUGUAGCGUGGUACAAGGCAAGUUAGAUAUGCAGGAACUAAACCAUUUAGUACCUUAUAGAUUUUGCUGGCUGCCCUGAAGUGACCACGGAGGUAUUUUCCCUGUCGCUGGUGCUCAUGUUGCUGGGGGUGGCCUUGUGGUGUGUGUGGGCAGCACACACCGUUCCUAAGCCCCCUGAUCAUCCUGAACUCCAGCCAAGCCCCCUCUCCCACCAACUCCUGGCAGUCCAUCUGUGUGGUGGGAUCACCGUGGGUCUCCCAGUCUCCAUCGGCGUCGUGACUGGAGAAUCCCUUGGACAUUCUGUGUGACCUAAUUUUUCAUCUAUGUCUGAUGAUUUUCAUUUGGUUUAGGUGUGUCUUGUCAAUUAUCUUCAGUUGCCUGUGUAUUUAUUUCAGUCUGUCCCUCGUCCUGUCUACCUUGUCCUAUAAUUGCAAGUGAAUGUCGCUUUAUUGUGCCAUCCCAAAGAGGGACACUUUCACAGAAUUUUAAAUGUAAUGUUCCUCCUGGUGGAAUGACCUGCCCAACUCAAUCCAAGCAGAGGAGUCCUUAUCCAUCUUCAAGGAUUGGCUAAAAACACAUCUCUUCAAUUUUUUUGACCCUCUAAAUCUAGCACUCUCUUUUCCAAUUCUAUUCUUAAAACAAUAAACUUGUCCCUUUUAAACUUC